CCCUUGAUAGCUCAGCUGGAAGAGCGAUGGACGUAAGUUAUUUCCUGGUCUGAAUCAGAGUAAAACUGACUGACAUUGAAUUAGUGUAACGUUAGCGAUUAGUUAUCCACAGGUCGCCGGUUCAAGUCCGGCUCGAGGGA
rnacentral:tRNA from 1 species